UCCCUGUAGCUCAGUCGGUAAAGAGUCUGCCUGCAAUACAGAAGACCCAGGUUCAAUCCCUGGGUUGGGAA
rnacentral:tRNA from 1 species